UACACAUGCAGUCGAACGAUGAACCUCACUUGUGGGGGGAUUAGUGGCGAACGGGUGAGUAACACGUGAGUAACCUGCCCUUGACUCUGGGAUAAGCCUGGGAAACCGGGUCUAAUACUGGAUACGACCUUCCCGCGCAUGCGGUGUUGGUGGAAAGCUUUUGUGGUUUUGGAUGGACUCGCGGCCUAUCAGCUUGUUGGUGGGGUAAUGGCCUACCAAGGCGACGACGGGUAGCCGGCCUGAGAGGGUGACCGGCCACACUGGGACUGAGACACGGCCCAGACUCCUACGGGAGGCAGCAGUGGGGAAUAUUGCACAAUGGGCGCAAGCCUGAUGCAGCGACGCCGCGUGAGGGAUGAAGGCCUUCGGGUUGUAAACCUCUUUCAGUAGGGAAGAAGCCGGCNUUCGGGUUGGUGACGGUACCUGCAGAAGAAGCGCCGGCUAACUACGUGCCAGCAGCCGCGGUAAUACGUAGGGCGCAAGCGUUAUCCGGAAUUAUUGGGCGUAAAGAGCUCGUAGGCGGUUUGUCGCGUCUGCCGUGAAAGUCCGGGGCUUAACCCCGGAUCUGCGGUGGGUACGGGCAGACUAGAGUGCAGUAGGGGAGACUGGAAUUCCUGGUGUAGCGGUGAAAUGCGCAGAUAUCAGGAGGAACACCGAUGGCGAAGGCAGGUCUCUGGGCUGUAACUGACGCUGAGGAGCGAAAGCAUGGGGAGCGAACAGGAUUAGAUACCCUGGUAGUCCAUGCCGUAAACGUUGGGCACUA
rnacentral:rRNA from 1 species